rnacentral:rRNA from 1 species
UACGGAGGGGGCGAGCGUUGUUCGGAAUCAUUGGGCGUAAAGGGCGCGUAGGCGGCCUCAUAAGUCAGAUGUGAAAGCCCUUGGCUUAACCAAGGAAUUGCAUCUGAAACUGCGAGGCUUGAGUCCGGGAAGGGAGAGUGGAAUUCCCAGUGUAGCGGUGAAAUGCGUAGAUAUUGGGAGGAACACCGGUGGCGAAGGCGGCUCUCUGGACCGGUACUGACGCUGAUGCGCGAAAGCUAGGGGAGCAAACGGG